GAUGAACGCUGGCGGCGUGCCUAAUACAUGCAAGUCGAGCGAACAGAUGCGGAGCUUGCUCCUCUGACGUUAGCGGCGGACGGGUGAGUAACACGUGUAUAACCUACCUAUAAGACUGGGAUAACUUCGGGAAACCGGCGCUAAUACCGGAUAAUAUAUUGCACCGCAUGGUUCAAUAGUGAAAGACGGUUUUGCUGUCACUUAUAGAUGGAUCCGCGCCGCAUUAGCUAGUUGGUAAGGUAACGGCUUACCAAGGCAACGAUGCGUAGCCGACGUGAGAGGGGGAUCGGCCGCCUUGGAACGGGGACGGGGUCCAGACGACUACGGGAGGCAGCAGUAGGGAAUCGUCCGCAAUGGGCGAAAGCCUGACGGAGCAACGCCGCGUGAGUGAUGAAGGUCUUCGGAUCGUAAAACUCUGUUAUUAGGGAAGAACAAAUGUGUAAGUAACUAUGCACGUCUUGACGGUACCUAAUCAGAAAGCCACGGCUAACUACGUG
rnacentral:rRNA from 1 species